AGGCCCGCGGGGACCCCGGCGCGGCCGGGACCUGGGCGGGCGGCGGCGGCUCCCUAGCCUCGGUCACCUCGGCUGCAAAUGGGACUAUUACCCAGGGGCCCGCGGGAGUCCCCGGCCCCCAGGCCGAGCGGGGCCGCCCCGCAACCCCGCCGGGCUGGCCCGGUUUCCCGGCGGAGCGCCCGUGCUCUCCGCGGCCCAGACCCGCCGCCCCUGCCUCGGGGGACCUGCCGGGUUAGCGCCCGCUGGCGGGGGAGGUCGGGGCGCUGGAGGUGCAGUGCUGGCGACAGUGCCAGUGAGCGGAAGGCGCUCGGAGAGGUUCACAGCGACGCUCCCUUCCCCCAGCCGUCCCCUACCCGGCCCUCUCACGCCAGGACAGCGCCACGGGCAGACGCUGUGUCUGUGGCAACCAAAUGGAGGGUGUGGCUGGUUUUCCUGAGGACCGGAGCUGGCCUGUGCUGGGAGCCGCCUGGGGAGCAGACCGGCCUGGCAGCCAAAGGCACCGCAGGCAGGGAGGUAACGAUGGACUCAACCUGCCCAGAUGAAUCUAGCCCAGUGACUCCCAAUCCAGCACCCCGGCCAAGUAAUUCCCACAUCCCUGAGGCCAGCCGGAAACACAGAAACUGACUUCCAGAUGAUGGACUUGAUCAUAGCACAGAGCCUCUUGUUCUCGUGGGUUCGCCCCUGAUGUCUCUAAUGCCCGGGACAGAGAUGCCCUCAAUAGCUACUAAUUUACUGAAUGAAAGAAUGGAUGAAUCCCAUCAAACAAGGAAUAAAGGGAUUCUCCAGAUCAGAAGACAGACAUGAGCCUUCAGCCUGAAAAGGCUUAAGGGGCCAACAAGACUGAAGCUUGGUUCCACCACUUUGGGUGCGGGGCCAUCUCCUUAAAGCACCACAUACACCCGCCUUGUUUUGUUUUGUUUUUUAAGAUUAUUUAUUUAUUUAUUCAUGAGAGACACAGAGAGAGAGAGGGGCAGAGACACAGGCAGAGGGAGAAGCAGGCUCGGUGCAGGGAGCCCGAUGUGGGACUCGAUCCCGGGUCUCCAGGAUCACUCCUUGGGCUGAACGCAGAGACGCCGCUGAGCCCUGGGCGUCCCUACACCCGCCUUGUGAUCCAGGAAUUUCACGCCUUGUGAUCCAGGAAUUUCACGGCGGGGCGCUCGGCUCAAAGAGAUGAAACUAGACAUCCACCAAAGACGUGUGUAAGGAUGUUCAUAACCGCCUUAUUGGUCGAAGCCCCUUCCUGGAGACCAGGCCAGCCGCCCCGCACAGCAGGAUGGACGGACAGACACCCGCGGCAGCGAGCGCCCUGGGCUGCUGUGCAGCAGUGGAGCAGGAAAUGCUCCACGGACCCCAACCCGGGGUACUAUUCAGGCCUUUCGACUUGCUAUUCCUUUUUCUUUUUUUUUUUAAGUUAUCACUACCCACGGUGUGGGGCUCAAACUCACGACCCCAAGAUCAAGAGUCGCACGCUCCACCGACAGAGCCAGCCAGCACCCCAAUCUCUGUAUUUCUGACGCUUUGUCACCCCCGAGCCUGAAGAGACCGCCCGUCGCAGGGCUAACCAGUCCCUAGCGACAGUAAGUGCGGAGCCCGGGAGCCUUCCUGCGCACCCGCCAACCCACAGCCAACCCACAGCCGCGGCUCACAGGGGGGCCAGGGUCCCCCUCAGCCAGGGAGCCGAGGACUGGGGACAGGCAGCUGAAAGAGAUGAUCCGUGGCCGGUCCUAACCUGUCUACCCUGCCCAGGCUUUCCCCGCCUCCCCUCCUCACCGCCCCCCCAACCUUCCGCCUGGCCAGUGGGGUGACAGGUGACAGCAGGCGUGUCCCCCCUGCUCCUGGGAACUGUACGGAGCAAAGCAUCUCGCCCGUGGCAGCCGCCUCCCGAGCUGCGGCCUCACCCACCCGAACAGUAUCACACCAACAUCGUAAGCAAGGAGCCCAGGGAGCAGGAGGCCGCCUGCCCGGGCCCACCUACUGCCCGCACCAGCCGCGAGCGGCCCGGGCCACCUGCUGGGGCCGCUGCCCCCACCGCCACCCCAUGGUCACAGAUCCCACCCUAGAAUUCGGAGGCCGGGUCCUCCCUAGGUUCUGACCAGAGCCCUUACGUGCCAAGAUUCCAGGACGACGCUCCGGGCACCCCUUUUCUUCAGGUCCUAGUUUAGGAGGGGAUCCUCCGAGGGACAGGCUACGUGUGGCCUCAACAGCCUUGCCUCCGCCCGCCAGCCUUGCAGACAAGACCCGACCCUCCUCCAGGAGCACAGCUGGGACGUCACGUGGAUGGCGGCUCCCUCUGGCGAGAGUCACCCGACACACUUUGCCCCAGGGCUUACGAAUCCAGCACCUGGCGGCGGGCUCCGCACGGACAAAUUCUGCCGAAAUCCAACUCAGGCUGCUCCUUCCAGUCGGCCCAGCCUCCCCAGCCUCCAGCCUCGGAGGCCCCCCUCUAAUGAAAGGCUCUAAGAUCCGAGCCAAUGAAGUCAGCAGGCCCUCCCUGCAGGGCCUCACUCCUUCACCCUGGAGGCCGGCAACCUCCUCUCCUGCCCCCACCCCCACCCCACCCCCACCCCUGGGCUCUCCAACCAUCCAGGAUGGCCAUGAGCUGCCCAAGGGGCAAGAAACUGCCUCUUUUGGCCUCUGAUGCAAGAAACUGCCUCUCUUUGGCCUCAUGCUAAACACCAUUAAAACCAAAAUUGCUGGGCAGCCCGGUUGGCUCAGCGGUUUAACGCCGCCUUCAGCCCAGGGCCGGAUUCUGGAGACUCGGGAUCGAGUCCCACGUAGGGCUCCCUGCAUGGAGGUGUUUCUCCCUCUCUCUCUCU